GACGGAGGGUGCAAGCGUUGUUCGGAAUUACUGGGCGUAAAGGGCGCGUAGGCGGUCUGUUAAGUUCGGUGUGAAAGCCCCCGGCUCACCUGGGGAACUGCGCCGGAAACCGACAGACUCGAGUACCGGAGAGGAGGGUGGAAUUCCUGGUGUAGCGGUGAAAUGCGUAGAUAUCAGGAGGAACACCGGUGGCGAAGGCGGCCCUCUGGGACGGUACUGACGCUGAGACGCGAAAGCGUGGGGAGCAAACAGG
rnacentral:rRNA from 1 species